rnacentral:tRNA from 1 species
CAAGGAGUAGUUUAAGUAAGAAUUCUAGCUUUGGGGGUUAGAGGUAGAGGUUAAAUUCCUUUUUCUUUGA